CGGUAAUUCCAGCUCCAAUAGCGUAUAUUAAAGUUGUUGCGGUUAAAACGCUCGUAGUUGGAGUUCUGCCAAAAGUGGCCGGUCUACCCUCCGUGGUUUGCACAGGGCAACUUUCGGCAUCAUCCUGGGAAACUUGUAUGCACUUUACUGUGUGACCUUGGGAUCCAGGACUUUUACUUUGAAGAAAUGAGAGUGUUUCAAGCAGGCGAAUGCCUUGAAUACGUUAGCAUGGAAUAAUAGCAUCGGACCUCUUCCCAACGCUGUUGGUUCAUUGGAGUGAGGUAAUGAUAAACAGGGAUAGCUGGGGGCAUUCGUAUUUAACUGUCAGAGGUGAAAUUCUUGGAUUUGUUAAAGACGAACUACUGCGAAAGCAUCUGCCAAGGAUGUUCUCAUUGAUCAAGAACGAAAGUUAGGGGAUCGAAGACGAUCAGAUACCGUCCUAGUCUUAACCAUAAACUAUGCCGACUAGAGAUUGGGGGUAGUACAUUAUUUUGACUCCUCCAGCAUCUUGGGAGAAAUCAGAGUCUUUGGGUUCCGGGGGGAGUAUGGUCGCAAGGCUGAAACUUAAAGGAAUUGACGGAGGGGCACCACCAGGAGUGGAGCCUGCGGCUUAAUUUGACUCAACACGGGGAAACUUACCAGGUCCAGACAUAGUAAGGAUUGACAGACUGAAAGCUCUUUCUUGAUUCUAUGGGUGGUGGUGCAUGGCCGUUCUUAGUUGGUGGAGUGAUUUGUCAGGUUAAUUCCGUUAACGAACGAGACCUUAGCCUGUUAAAUAGUGUCCAGGACCAUUGGUUCUAGGUGAUCACUUCUUAGAGGGACUUCAUGGCUUUAACAUGAGGAAGUGUGAGGCAAUAACAGGUCUGUGAUGCCCUUAGAUGUCCUGGGCUGCACGCGCGCUACACUGAUGCGUUCAACAAGUAUAGAACCUUUUCUUGGAAGGAAUAGGUAAUCUUGUUAAAUCGCAUCGUGAUGGGGAUAGUUUAUUGCAAUUUUUAAUCUUCAACGAGGAAUUCCUAGUAACCGUGAGUCAUCAACUUGCGAUGACUACGUCCCUGCCCUUUGUACACACCGCCCGUCGCUCCUACCGAUUGAGUGGUCCGGUGAAUAAUUCGGACUGCGAUUUUUUCCGUCAGGAUAUUUUUGCAGGAAAUCUAGUGAACCUUAUCACUUAGAGGAAGGAGAAGUCGUAACAAGGUAGCCG
rnacentral:rRNA from 1 species